UCAGACGAUGCGUCAUGCAUAUCAAUAAGCGGAGGAAAAGAAACUAACAAGGAUUCCCUCAGUAACGGCGAGUGAAGCGGGAAGAGCUCAAAUUUGAAAUCUUGAAAGGUCACCUUUCACGAAUUGUAGUUUAAAGAAGUGUUUUCUGUUACGAUCGUAAUAUAAGUUCUUUGGAAUAGGACAUCACAGAGGGUGGGAAUCCCGUAUUUGACCAUUAUUUUCAGCUUUGUGAUACACUUUCAAAGAGUCGGAUUGUUUGGGAAUGCAGUCCAAAAUGGGUGGUAAAUUUCAUCUAAAGCUAAAUAUUGGCGAGAGACCGAUAGCGAACAAGUACCGUGAGGGAAAGAUGAAAAGAACUUUGAAAAGAGAGUUAAAUAGUACGUGAAAUUGUCAAAAGGGAAGCGUUUAACACCAGUGUUGUUUUCUGAAAAUCAACCUCUGUUAGCUUUAUGCAUGUUUGUUUAGACCUAAUCAGCUAUCUUGCAUGUUCUAUUGUUUGCAGUGGUGCACUUUUCAGUUUACAGGUCAACAUCAGUUUUUUUUACCGUAAAAAAGUUAAAGAAAGGUAGCUCAUGGCUCCGGUCGUGAGUGUUAUAGUCUUUUUCCUAUGCGGUAGGAGAGACUGAGGUCUGCAGUGUAGGCUAUUUGGCUAGAUACUCAGGUGCUAUGUGAUACCAUUUCAUAAACAACUUGUUGAUUAUGUUUUGUCUAUUGCAUACUCGCUUGUACUAUCAUACCUACGCUUAGGAUGUUGACUGAUAUGUAGUCGUA
rnacentral:rRNA from 1 species